GCAAAACAGAGAUGCAUGGCCUGCAGCUAGUUCAGUAACUAUUUUUUCGAUCAAAAGUGGACGAGGAGGAGAAAUAGCAAUAUUUGCUCAAAAUGUAUGUUAGGUCUUUCAUGCAAGGGACUUUGGUUGAAACCUGAAGUGCCUUUCUUCCCAACACAAAAGAUAUGCCGAAGCAGAGUCUCUCAUUUCUUAGAAGCAUCACAAUACAGUUUUGUGAUGAGCUGGAGUUAUUUUCCCUAGGUGGAUUACCCAUUCCUAAGCUCAUUUAUUUGGAGGUGCAAAAUCGUAAGAAACACUAUGGCUGGCCUUCAAGAAAUGAAAUUUAGAAAUAUUCCACAUCUGCAAUCUACAUCCAAUGAAUUUUUAGUGGUGGUAUAGUUAAGGCGCGAAAGAAAAGGGAUGUGCACUCCGACCUGCAUUCUAUUUUGCUGAAGAUAUAAAGUGCUUGGAUGGGAAGUGGCUUCAAUGUCCGACCUGAAUUCUUGUCAUAGAAUGAGCUACCGAGCUCAAUUCAUUACCAGAAGAGGGAAUUGCAUAUCAGAAACUGCCAAUUGCGAGAAGCAAAUUAGAAGAGGAAACAAAGAAAAUAAUGGUGCAAGAUUGCUCACAUUUCCUCCAUAGUUAUCAACAACAAAAUGAUUGCAUGAGUGUUGUGUCCAGAUCAACCAAGGGCCUCAAGGGUGAUUGUGUGACUGGAACCAAAAUGGAAGCAGCAACAUCCUCUUUUAAUUAAAUGCAAUACUUUUUGCCGCCAAGCGCUGGAUGCAGUAGAGGAUUCCUACUCAUGAAAAUCAAAGAGGAGAAGUUUUUUCUUAUAAGCUGAAUACUUUUUGUAAUUUCUAAAGCUAUCUGGUAUUCAGGGCCGGCCCUGAGGGGGUGCGAACAGCUCAAACGAGCUGGGCCUCCCCCAAGGAUGGGCUUCAAUUUUGUUUUUUUAAUAUGAUGUAUUGAAAAUAUUGAUAUAUACAUAUAACAUUGUAACAUUAACGGUUUGGAAGGCGUGGCCUAAUGGUUAAGUAUGGUAGUAUUGUGCUUUGGGUCUAUGGUUCAACUCCUAGAGAGGUCAAAUGUAAAUAUU